UGCAAACAAACUGUAGGCAAAGUCCGCAAAACAAUAUGCUGGACUUCCCCUUGUUCCCAGCGAAGUGAUUUACUUUCACAGCUCGUGUCAUGUAGCUGGAGCUACUCAGCACCCUGCUAGAGCUUCAAGUUAAAAGUUCAGCGGCAGGGCUGUGAGCCUGUCACGCUGAGAUUUACUGAGGCUGGCUGUGCACAGAGGAGAACACUCCCCUGCCAGGCCCUUAUGUAAACUCGGAUGCUGGAAAGGGUCUUCGCUGCUGGCUGCUGACAGAAGCUGCCCAGGAGAGCUGUGGGUGUCAAGCAUUUGGAACGGGCUACCCAGAGAAGUGGAGCAGAGUCAACAUCUCUGAAACUUUUUAAAAGACAGUUCUAUUAUGGCCAUUAGGGCAGCCAGAAACAGCAGAAGAGCUACAAGGAAAUAUGUCACAGAAGUCAGAACCCAAAUUUCUCUUCCUGGACAAAAGGCUCCAAAAGAUCAGAAAGGUUCAUCUAUAAAGACACAUCACAGGAUGACUUAGAAUCUGCUGGCAAAAUUGAGCAGUAUCAUCAAAAAACACUGUUCACAGAGUAUUAUAUAUGAAGCCAUCAUUUCAGAAUUCUACCAGCAACUACCUAAAAUGAGAAUUUCUACAAAGCUGGAAUAUAUCAAAGAUGAAAAUUGAACAAUGGCAGCCUAAGCUAUGACAAAUCAAGCAAGGAAAAACCACAUAACUAUGUGUACUACAUCAUCAGACAAUACACAUGAAAAUUCAGAGCAUUGAGUGACUUAAUAAAUGCCCUGAGAUUGCUGGGUGCAAAACAAGACCAGAAGAGUUAAUUGAAGGAAAAAACACUGAA